rnacentral:rRNA from 1 species
UGAACGCUGGCGGCGUGCCUACUACAUGCAAGUCGAGCGAACAGACGAGGAGCUUACUCCUCUGACGUUAGCGGCGGACGGGUGAGUAACACGUGGAUAACCUACCUAUAGGACUGGGAUAACUUCGGGAAACCGGAGCUAAUACCGGAUAACAUGUUGAACCGCAUGGUUCAACAGUGAAAGACGGUCUUGCUGUCACUUAUAGAUGGAUCCGCGUCGCAUUAGCUAGUUGGUAAGGUAACGGCUUACCAAGGCAACGAUGCGUAGCCGACCUGAGAGGGUGAUCGGCCACACUGGAACUGAGACACGGUCCAGACUCCUACGGGAGGCAGCAGUAGGGAAUCUUCCGCAAUGGGCGAAAGCCUGACGGAGCAACGCCGCGUGAGUGAAGAAGGUCUUCGGAUCGUAAAACUCUGUUAUUAGGGAAGAACAAAUGUGUAAGUAACUAUGCACGUCUUGACGGUACCUAAUCAGAAAGCCACGGCUAACUACGUG